rnacentral:rRNA from 1 species
GACCUGGCGGCAGGCCUAACCAUGCAAGUCGAGCGUAACAAAGGGUAGCUUGCUACUCUGGCGUCGAGCGGCGGACGGGUGAGUAAUGCUUGGGGAUCUGCCCGGUAGCGGGGGACAACAGUUGGAAACGACUGCUAAUACCGCAUACGCCCUACGGGGGAAAGCAGGGGACUCUUCGGAACCUUGCGCUAUCGGAUGAACCCAAGUGAGAUUAGCUUGUUGGUGAGGUAAUGGCUCACCAAGGCAACGAUCUCUAGCUGGUUUGAGAGGAUGAUCAGCCACACUGGGACUGAGACACGGCCCAGACUCCUACGGGAGGCAGCAGUGGGGAAUAUUGCACAAUGGGCGAAAGCCUGAUGCAGCCAUGCCGCGUGUGUGAAGAAGGCCUUCGGGUUGUAAAGCACUUUCAGCGAGGAGGAAAGGUCAACGGUUAAUACCCGUUGGCUGUGACGUUACUCGCAGAAGAAGCACCGGCUAACUUCGUGCCAGCAGCCGCGGUAAUACGAGGGGUGCAAGCGUUAAUCGGAAUUACUGGGCGUAAAGCGCAUGCAGGCGGUCUGGUCAGUCAGAUGUGAAAGCCCCGGGCUCAACCUGGGAAUUGCAUUUGAUACUGCCAGACUAGAGUCUUGUAGAGGGGGGUAGAAUUUCAGGUGUAGCGGGUGAAAUGCGUAGAGAUCUGAAGGAAUACCAGUGGCGAA